UUCAUAGAGGAUAAGCAUUUCCACCUGCCAGAGACAGAGCCUGAGGCUAGCGCCCUCGCAGCCCUGCUGGAGCCCAGCCAGGGCAGCAGUUCACCCCCCUCACCAGCUCUUCUUGCUGCAAGAUGGCAGCAGAUGCUAUUCAGUCGCAAAGGGGCGGAUCCCGGGACUCUGAAGACACUGCAGGCCCGCUUCUGAAAAUCCUGUGUCUGUCAGGAUCUUGGGUAAGUUAAACAUUAAGGCACCGUCUGCGUUAGAAAAGUCGUGGCUAAAUGUUUAUUGAUUGAUGAAAUAACUCACAUGUUCAUACACACAUUGAGUCACAAAAUGUCAACAAAACGCCCAGAACGUGCAGAAAUCUAUACAUGUGUCUUAGAGGGUGCGGAGAGUCGCAGCCCAGCCCCAUUCUUCAAAGGGAACCAGAAAUGGCUGAGUAGGAUCAGAGAAGCCGAUACUGCAAAUACAUGGCACAAAUGAACAUCAGAAAAGAGAAAGCUGGGCUGACUGCAAAAAAUCUUUGAUAAAGGAUUACGUGCUCCAUGUUUCUAUUUCCAUGAAAUUCUACAAAUUAACCUGUGCAAGGAAAACUGCAGCAGUGGCUGCUUCUCCGAAGAAGAAGGAACUCUCCGCAUGGUGAUUCCAUUUUUUCUUGGGCACUUCGGACUGUGAGUUUGGGGUUCACCUUUGUCAGGAUGCCAUGAAUUUUAUUGAAUAUAUUUGUGUCCAAAGAAAUAAAUAAAGCUACAUAUAUGUCC
rnacentral:lncRNA from 1 species